UACUACUUUAGAAUUUAGAUUCCAAUCUCCUCCGAAUCUAACAAUGGCGAGGACACAAUUUGAAAAACUACAUGAAGAAAUGAUAGCUGAGAUACUCUCCCGUCUGCCGGCGAAGUUGAUAGGCCAAUCCAGGUGCGUAUCAAAGCAGUGGUGCUCUAUUCUCUCAGGCCCACAACUCAUUAAAGCUCACCUCACUUUUCAUUCUCACAAAUAUGAAGAAGAAAAGCUCAUUACUGUCUGUCGUUCUCAGUCUCUUCACGCUUUAACCUUUAACCAAAAUGGAAAUGGUGUCGUUUCAAGAAAGCUUGACUUUCAGCAGCAGCUUUCAGACAACUGGGUUACUGUCGGUGGCUCCUGUAAUGGCUUGGUCUUGGCUGUAAAUGACAAACAAAUUACAUUUUUAAUUAACCCCACGACGUUAAAGUACCAUAGAAUUCCAGAUUCUGGUAAUGCUUCAAUCGUGGCUUUAGAAUGUAUGGUCUAGGGUAUGAUGUUCGUAGUGAUGAUUAUAAGGUAGUUACACUUUCUUAUUAUGCUACUGAUUAUGCUGAUACACAUGAUAUUUUUAAUACUUCUGUGGCUGUGUACUCUGUGAGAAAGGGUCUUUGGAGGAGACUACUACAGAGCAAAGAGAGUCUUUGGGGGAGACUCUAUUCUAAUGAUUGUGCAGUUCCUGAGCGUGCUUCUAGGGUUUAGGUUAAAAGGGCUUUGUAUUGGUCAGGUCCUAACCGUUUGAGGUGGUUCCCUGACGUCGCAUAUGGGGUUUUCGUAAGAGGGAUUUGGGAAAAUGGGGUUUUAGUAAAUGGGGCUUUGCAUUGGUUGGCUAGUGAAGAUUCUGACUAUUCACCUGUAAUUGUUGCUUUCGAAAUUUUUUCAGGUGCAGGACCUACUACUAUUGACAAGGGUAAACAUGUGAUCAGUAAGCUUGUGGCUCUCAGAGGGUGUCUUUGUAUUUUGUCUGAAACAGAAGAAACAAAUACUACUUGGAUAAUAAAGAAUACUAUGUGGACGAUGAAAGACUAUGGGAUUGAGGAGUCUUGCACCAAAUUUGAAGUUAAAGGACCGGAUGACGCUGGGUUGAUACCAUUGUGUUUUAUGAGUGAGGAUGAUGUUGUACUAGAUGCAUGUGCAAGUUUGAUUGCCUACAAUAGGAGAGAGGAUCAGUAGAAGGGAUAUAAUGGAUGAUAGAACUCCUCCUAUGUCGUAUAGAGCUGGAACUAGAGUCUUGUUCCUCCCACCUUCUGAGAUGAUGCUAUAUACAGGUUUUAAGUUAUUUGCUACAGUAGGAGCGGAUCGUCUGCUGUAGUAUCCACCUUUAGCAGUAGUAUCACAGGAAUUCUUCUGCUUCCGUGGACAUGUUCUGGUGCUUCUAUUGAACGAUUUCUUGUGUUUGUGCAGAGGCCUGAAUCUCUAUGUCCCUCUCUAUACAUUUGUUGGGCAGAUCCUCAUACUUGAGAUUUGUUUUGUUGACUGUAUAUCUCAGUUGAGUUUCUGAACAUUAAACAAGUAGAUAAACUGACUAACUAUUUGCAUACUCAUUUGACAAGGGAGGGGUUUACAUUAAGGUUUAACUAUCAUGUUAAAGCAGCAAGAUUGUCCUUUUUGUUGCAGCAUCAAAUUUUCCAGUUGUGCCAUGUUUUAGCUUAUCUGAUAUAACCCUGCUUAUUAUCAUAACCAAUACCUCAAAUUUACGGUAAAUUCAAGAUUCAAGGCUUUUCUUGUAGGCGAUUUGUAUGCGGCCAAAAUCGGAAAGGCCGAUUCCACGAUCGGCGAGACAUUGCGCAAUUUCACCCCGAGGGGCCGAGGGAAUGGCUCGGGGUUCGAAGUCUUCGAGGACUCUUCGUGCCCGAUAUCGAGGUAGAACGAACCGGUGGUUAUCACAAGUGAGCGGGAAGUUCCCUUGGAGCAGUACUUUCUCUGACAACGCCUGCGCGGACAGUGACAGCCUGCGCCAGGCUGAUUGAGUGAUUGUACGGGCUACUUAUGUAAUAAAUGCACUUGUAUCAUAUUAAGGUUCCCCUCAUCUAUAAAGGGGGGCCUUAACAUUUUGUAAAAGAACUCUCUCCAACACACAAGAUA